CCCUGGUAGUUCAGCUGGUAAGGAAUCUGCCUGCAAUGUAGGAGAUCCUGGUUUGAUUCCUGGAUCAGGAA
rnacentral:tRNA from 1 species